UGUCUUGUGACACAGGAAAUUGGUUACACACCGUUUUACACAAUUUCUUGCUUCAUCGCUUGCUAAGUCAGCAGGAUGAGGCUAAAACAGCAGAAGGGAUUUACACAAUAUGUUCUAUGGAAUCAUUCUCAAUGGUUAAACCUCAGGCACGUCAUAUAAAACCAAUCAUCACUUCCAUUCAGGGUCAGUAGCUGACAGCUGUUUCACAGUCUGCUAAGUCCAGGUAUCAGUGCUAGCAUCGCGAUGGGAUGAAUGGUAUCAGAACAUCUGUAAUGGAAAGAUCAGCAGCUUGGUGUGUGGGGGAAUCUCGUCCUUGGUGGAGGUCUCACUCUGCUGCUCAAUAAUAAUCUGCAGGAAUCGCAGAAAGACUUUACAUUGUGGACACAAGGUCAUUAGCUCAGGAAACUCUGCAGCGGUCAUCAGCUGAUUUGACACGGAAAACACAUCAGACACAACAGUUUACCUCAACUGUUACUGGCGCCGCAUCAGCAGCUUCCACGAAGCCGAAGACAAUGGACACGCAGGAGGAUGCACUCACUAAACUCUGAGAACAAUCCAUUAGCUAUUAUGGGACUAUUAGCUUUGGCAGAUGGAGAGCGAGAGGAUGC